rnacentral:rRNA from 1 species
UACGGAGGGUGCGAGCGUUGUCCGGAAUCACUGGGCGUAAAGGGCGCGUAGGCGGUCUGCUAAGCGUGUGGUGAAAGCUCGGGGCUCAACCCCGAGUCUGCCAUGCGAACUGGUGGACUUGAGCACUGUAGAGGCAGGUGGAAUUCCGGGUGUAGCGGUGGAAUGCGUAGAGAUCCGGGAAGAACACCAGUGGCGAAGGCGGCCUGCUGGGCAGUUGCUGACGCUGAGGCGCGACAGCGUGGGGAGCAACAGG